GUUCUUGGAAAUCGAUGUGCUGACCUAGAGCUCCAGCUGGAAGCUUUCAAGGAGAAAACUUCUUAUCUUGAUGAUGAACUCUCCAAGUAUCGUGCCAGAGCAGAUGAACAGGAGACUGAACUUGUCACACUGCAACAACAAUUACAGCAUUACCAGCAGACAGAAAUUCAGAGUAAAGAAUCCAGUAUUUCUGAAUCACCUGAUGCCUUUGAAUUCACUACAUUGCUUGCUGAGUUAGAUGAACAGAUUCAACUUUCUUUAGCUGACUUAAAGCGUCCUGAGGGAACUGAUUUUGAUGACUCAGAGGUUUUGAAAAGUAAAGAUUCG
rnacentral:lncRNA from 1 species